UGAUUUUUGGCCUAAAAACUGCAGGGGUCGACUCAUGCCUUGGGGGGUCGACUCAUGGGUCGACUCACAGGUUGUGCCAAGCCAAAAAAUCUGCGUGCCAAACAGCUCAUGUGCCAUGAGUUGACUCAUGGGUCGACUCAUGAUUUUCAAAUAUGCAUAUCUUUCAAAAUACAAGUCCAAAAUCAAUGAAAUUUUUGUCAAUGGAUCACAAAUCUUUUGUUCUAUCAUUUGAUACUUUCAAAUCAGGGU
rnacentral:lncRNA from 1 species